CAGGGUAUAGCUAAAUAGCUAAGGCAUCUCCCCUACACUGAGAAAAUAUUCGUGCAAAUCGAAUUGCCCUGA
rnacentral:tRNA from 1 species